UAGGGAAUCUUCGGCAAUGGGGGGAACCCUGACCGGGCAACGCCGCGUGAGUGAAGAAGGUUUUAGGAUCGUAAAGCUCUGUUGUUAAGGAAGAACGAGUGUGAGAAUGGAAAGUUCAUACUGUGACGGUACUUAACCAGAAAGGGACGGCUAACUACGUGCCAGCAGCCGCGGUAAUACGUAGGUCCCGAGCGUUGUCCGGAUUUAUUGGGCGUAAAGCGAGCGCAGGCGGUUAGAUAAGUCUGAAGUUAAAGGCAGUGGCUCAACCAUUGUAGGCUUUGGAAACUGUUUAACUUGAGUGCAGAAGGGGAGAGUGGAAUUCCAUGUGUAGCGGUGAAAUGCGUAGAUAUAUGGAGGAACACCGGUGGCGAAAGCGGCUCUCUGGUCUGUAACUGACGCUGAGGCUCGAAAGCGUGGGGAGCGAACAGG
rnacentral:rRNA from 1 species